rnacentral:rRNA from 1 species
CAGUAGCCGCGGUAAUACGGAGGGGGCUAGCGUUGUUCGGAAUUACUGGGCGUAAAGCGUGCGCAGGCGGCCAUUCAAGUUAGAUGUGAAAUCCCUGGGCUCAACCUAGGAAUUGCAUUUGAUACUGUUUGGCUUGAGUUCGGGAGAGGUGAGUGGAAUUCCCAGUGUAGAGGUGAAAUUCGUAGAUAUUGGGAAGAACACCAGUGGCGAAGGCGGCUCACUGGACCGACACUGACGCUGAGGUGCGAAAGCGUGGGGAGCGAACAGGAUUAGAUACCCCGGUAGUCCCUGUCUCUUAUAC